AAAGGUACUUUGUAUCAUAAAGGAUUUUUAUAUUGAAUUCAAUCUAAUACAAAUUCAGAGUACUUUUU
rnacentral:tRNA from 1 species